rnacentral:rRNA from 1 species
AUGCCCCGCCACCUUGAUCAAGUUUUCUCCUUACCAGCUGUAGCCUCUGCGGGCGGCACCAUCUCUGCCGUUAACCCUGCCUUCUUUCAAGUAAUCUCCUUCUCACACCUCUCCUUCUCCUCAACCCUGAUCUUGCGAUCAACGAUAAACGACCGUAACAUAGCCAUCACUAACAUUUACGCUCCCUCCUCACGCGCUCUCAAGCAACAAUUCCUCGAUGAAUUAUUACUUAUUGCCCAACCAGAUGACUCACCCUGGCUUCUCGUUGGUGACUUCAACCUCCUUCGGUUCCCCUCAGACAAAAACAACGCGGCUUUUAGACAGACAGAGGCCAACGCCUUUAACCAAACUAUUGAUGAUCUGGCACUCAUCGAACUACUGCUUCUCGACCGACAAUUCACAUGGUCAAACAAUAGAAACACCCCCACCCUCGAACGCAUUGACCGCGCCUUCUUCAAUCUAGCUUGGGCAAAUGCCUUCCCCAACUCCUCCCUCACAUCUCUCACGCGUUUCAUGUCAGAUCACGUUCCCCUCAUCAUCAACGUCACCACAACAAUCCCGCGCUCAAACUUUUUUAAAUUUGAACCUGAUUGGGCCAAACUACAACCCUGCCGCGAUAUAGUCUCAUCGGUUUGGGCCGCAAUUCAGCCCACUUCACCACCUAACGCCGUCGCUUCCCUCACCUCACGGCUCAAACAAACCCGAGCCGCACUCAAAAAAUGGGCUCGUUCGCGCGUUCCCGCCCCCCUCCGUGAGUCACAUUGCAAAACAGCCAUCUCUGCUCUAGACCACGUAGAAGAAUCUAGGCCCCUCUCCAGCCCAGAACAACUCACCGAAAGAUCAUCGUUUCUCUCCUAA